UACGUAGGGGGCAAGCGUUGUCCGGAUUUACUGGGCGUAAAGCGCGCGUAGGCGGAAGCUUAAGUGGGGCCUGAAAGCCCCCGGCUUAACCGGGGAACUGCAUGGGAUACUGUUGGGCUAGAGUGCAGGAGGGGAGAGCGGAAUUCCUGGUGGAGCGGUGAAAUGCGUAGAUAUCAGGAGGAACGCCGGCGGCGAAAGCGACUCUCUGGCCUGUAACUGACGCUGAGGCGCGAAAGCUAGGGGAGCAAACGGG
rnacentral:rRNA from 1 species